GUAGAGGAGUACGGAGAUGCUCUUGAAGAAGGAACUCAGUGAUGGGAACACGUUGAGGGAUUGGUUUGGGUAACAGAAACAUCACAUUACCUUCUACAGGCUGGAAAUGUCUUUUAAAGCUGGAGUCAUGUGAUAUGAAGCUGUAGACAGAGCCAAGUGGAAUACAUCAAAGAGUGCCUUGAUGCAGAUGUUUCAUGCAGAAGAAAAUUAGUGCAAUUCUCAGUGAAGCAUGUUUUACGGCACAGAUGGAAGAAUGACGAUCUAGCAUUGAUAGUAGAUCUCUGGUAUCAUUACCAAGAGAAUGGUAAGAAUUCAUUAUUCUGUUGUGUAAUGAUCAAAUUCGCCUCCACCCCCUGCCAGAUAACACUUUAAAUUAUAUGUUGAAAUAAAGAAACUUCUGAGAAACCAAAGUGGAUUUUUGUGUAUAUGAAAGACUGUGAACUGCAUCAUCUUCUGUUAUUCAGAAUAGAUUCCCAGGUUCAGUAUUCUUCAGUUUUGUGGUAUGCCUUUUGUAUCAGGCUCUGAUUAUUAGAUCUCAGGUACCUAAUUAAAACAAAACAGAUAGCUGAGAUCUUAAGAGUAAUGACACAGUGGUUCCUCCUAAGCUCAUGAGACUGCAUGAUGCCAAUACAGCUUUCCUCAUCAUUCUUUUCCUUCCUAUCCUUACUAAUCUGAUAAGGGGGAUCCAUAAGUAUGAAAUAAAUUCUAUGCAGAAGUUUAAAAAGAUGCAGAUCUGCCUCAUAAUAUUCAUCCAGCCACACUAAACUACCUGGAUGCAUCUUUUGAUGCCAAUGUAAAUCCCUUGUUCUUGCAGCUAUAAUUGUAGUUGAAGUCAAACUUUUUUAGAGUACAUUCCUGUCCUACUGAGUUCAGUUGAGCUUCCAGGAAAAUGAGCAUUGGAUUGCUACCAAAGGUACAAAAAAUUACUUAGUGACCUCUUCCUAAUCCUGACGUUU